ACCCAAGGGAUGGCUCAGUCAGUAGAGCACGAGGCUCUUCAUGUCAAGGCUGUGGGUUCGAGCCCCACAUUGGGCU